rnacentral:rRNA from 1 species
GGUUAAGCGACUAAGCGUACACGGUGGAUGCCCUGGCAGUCAGAGGCGAUGAAGGACGUGCUAAUCUGCGAUAAGCGUCGGUAAGGUGAUAUGAACCGUUAUAACCGGCGAUUUCCGAAUGGGGAAACCCAGUGUGUUUCGACACACUAUCAUUAACUGAAUCCAUAGGUUAAUGAGGCGAACCGGGGGAACUGAAACAUCUAAGUACCCCGAGGAAAAGAAAUCAACCGAGAUUCCCCCAGUAGCGGCGAGCGAACGGGGAGCAGCCCAGAGCCUGAAUCAGUGUGUGUGUUAGUGGAAGCGUCUGGAAAGGCGCGCGAUACAGGGUGACAGCCCCGUACACAAAAAUGCACAUGCUGUGAGCUCGAUGAGUAGGGCGGGACACGUGGUAUCCUGUCUGAAUAUGGGGGGACCAUCCUCCAAGGCUAAAUACUCCUGACUGACCGAUAGUGAACCAGUACCGUGAGGGAAAGGCGAAAAGAACCCCGGCGAGGGGAGUGAAAAAGAACCUGAAACCGUGUACGUACAAGCAGUGGGAGCACGCUUAGGCGUGUGACUGCGUACCUUUUGUAUAAUGGGUCAGCGACUUAUAUUCUGUAGCAAGGUUAACCGAAUAGGGGAGCCGAAGGGAAACCGAGUCUUAACUGGGCGUUAAGUUGCAGGGUAUAGACCCGAAACCCGGUGAUCUAGCCAUGGGCAGGUUGAAGGUUGGGUAACACUAACUGGAGGACCGAACCGACUAAUGUUGAAAAAUUAGCGGAUGACUUGUGGCUGGGGGUGAAAGGCCAAUCAAACCGGGAGAUAGCUGGUUCUCCCCGAAAGCUAUUUAGGUAGCGCCUCGUGAAUUCAUCUCCGGGGGUAGAGCACUGUUUCGGCAAGGGGGUCAUCCCGACUUACCAACCCGAUGCAAACUGCGAAUACCGGAGAAUGUUAUCACGGGAGACACACGGCGGGUGCUAACGUCCGUCGUGAAGAGGGAAACAACCCAGACCGCCAGCUAAGGUCCCAAAGUCAUGGUUAAGUGGGAAACGAUGUGGGAAGGCCCAGACAGCCAGGAUGUUGGCUUAGAAGCAGCCAUCAUUUAAAGAAAGCGUAAUAGCUCACUGGUCGAGUCGGCCUGCGCGGAAGAUGUAACGGGGCUAAACCAUGCACCGAAGCUGCGGCAGCGACGCUUAUGCGUUGUUGGGUAGGGGAGCGUUCUGUAAGCCUGUGAAGGUGUACUGUGAGGUAUGCUGGAGGUAUCAGAAGUGCGAAUGCUGACAUAAGUAACGAUAAAGCGGGUGAAAAGCCCGCUCGCCGGAAGACCAAGGGUUCCUGUCCAACGUUAAUCGGGGCAGGGUGAGUCGACCCCUAAGGCGAGGCCGAAAGGCGUAGUCGAUGGGAAACAGGUUAAUAUUCCUGUACUUGGUGUUACUGCGAAGGGGGGACGGAGAAGGCUAUGUUGGCCGGGCGACGGUUGUCCCGGUUUAAGCGUGUAGGCUGGUUUUCCAGGCAAAUCCGGAAAAUCAAGGCUGAGGCGUGAUGACGAGGCACUACGGUGCUGAAGCAACAAAUGCCCUGCUUCCAGGAAAAGCCUCUAAGCAUCAGGUAACAUCAAAUCGUACCCCAAACCGACACAGGUGGUCAGGUAGAGAAUACCAAGGCGCUUGAGAGAACUCGGGUGAAGGAACUAGGCAAAAUGGUGCCGUAACUUCGGGAGAAGGCACGCUGAUAUGUAGGUGAAGCGACUUGCUCGUGGAGCUGAAAUCAGUCGAAGAUACCAGCUGGCUGCAACUGUUUAUUAAAAACACAGCACUGUGCAAACACGAAAGUGGACGUAUACGGUGUGACGCCUGCCCGGUGCCGGAAGGUUAAUUGAUGGGGUUAGCGCAAGCGAAGCUCUUGAUCGAAGCCCCGGUAAACGGCGGCCGUAACUAUAACGGUCCUAAGGUAGCGAAAUUCCUUGUCGGGUAAGUUCCGACCUGCACGAAUGGCGUAAUGAUGGCCAGGCUGUCUCCACCCGAGACUCAGUGAAAUUGAACUCGCUGUGAAGAUGCAGUGUACCCGCGGCAAGACGGAAAGACCCCGUGAACCUUUACUAUAGCUUGACACUGAACAUUGAGCCUUGAUGUGUAGGAUAGGUGGGAGGCUUUGAAGUGUGGACGCCAGUCUGCAUGGAGCCGACCUUGAAAUACCACCCUUUAAUGUUUGAUGUUCUAACGUUGACCCGUAAUCCGGGUUGCGGACAGUGUCUGGUGGGUAGUUUGACUGGGGCGGUCUCCUCCUAAAGAGUAACGGAGGAGCACGAAGGUUGGCUAAUCCUGGUCGGACAUCAGGAGGUUAGUGCAAUGGCAUAAGCCAGCUUGACUGCGAGCGUGACGGCGCGAGCAGGUGCGAAAGCAGGUCAUAGUGAUCCGGUGGUUCUGAAUGGAAGGGCCAUCGCUCAACGGAUAAAAGGUACUCCGGGGAUAACAGGCUGAUACCGCCCAAGAGUUCAUAUCGACGGCGGUGUUUGGCACCUCGAUGUCGGCUCAUCACAUCCUGGGGCUGAAGUAGGUCCCAAGGGUAUGGCUGUUCGCCAUUUAAAGUGGUACGCGAGCUGGGUUUAGAACGUCGUGAGACAGUUCGGUCCCUAUCUGCCGUGGGCGCUGGAGAAUUGAGGGGGGCUGCUCCUAGUACGAGAGGACCGGAGUGGACGCAUCACUGGUGUUCGGGUUGUCAUGCCAAUGGCACUGCCCGGUAGCUAAAUGCGGAAGAGAUAAGUGCUGAAAGCAUCUAAGCACGAAACUUGCCCCGAGAUGAGUUCUCCCUGACUCCUUGAGAGUCCUGAAGGAACGUUGAAGACGACGACGUUGAUAGGCCGGGUGUGUAAGCGCAGCGAUGCGUUGAGCUAACCGGUACUAAUGAACCGUGAGGCUUAACCUU